rnacentral:rRNA from 1 species
UAGGGAAUUUCGGCAAUGGGGGGAACCCUGACCGAGCAACGCCGCGUGAGUGAAGAAGGUUUUCGGAUCGUAAGCUCUGUUGUUAAGGAAGAACGAGUGUGAGAAUGGAAAGUUCAUACUGUGACGGUACUUAAUCAGAAAGGGACGGCUAACUACGUGCCAGCAGCCGCGGUAAUACGUAGGUCCCGAGCGUUGUCCGGAUUUAUUGGGCGUAAAGCGAGCGCAGGCGGUUAGAUAAGUCUGAAGUUAAAGGCAGUGGCUCAACCAUUGUAGGCUUUGGAAACUGUUUAACUUGAGUGCAGAAGGGGAGAGUGGAAUUCCAUGUGUAGCGGUGAAAUGCGUAGAUAUAUGGAGGAACACCGGUGGCGAAAGCGGCUCUCUGGUCUGUAACUGACGCUGAGGCUCGAAAGCGUGGGGAGCGAACAGGAUUAGAUACCCUGGUAGUCCACGCCGUAAACGAUGAGUGCUAGGUGUUAGGUCCUUUCCGGGACUUAGUGCCGCAGCUAACGCAUUAAGCACUCCGCCUGGGGAGUACGACCGCAAGGUUG